AACGAACGCUGGCGGCGUGUUUAAGACAUGCAAGUCGCACGGGGUGAAGUUGUAGCAAUACCAUUUCACUUAGUGGCGCACGGGUGAGUAACACGUGAAUUACAUGCCCUUCAGUGGGGAAUAACCCGGGGAAACCCAGACUAAUACCCCAUGGUAUCGCGAGAUUAAAGGUGGCCUUGCGCAAGUAAGGCUGUCGCUGAAGGAUUGGUUCGCGCCCUAUCAGCUUGUUGGUGAGGUAAUGGCUCACCAAGGCGACGACGGGUACCUGGUCUGAGAGGACGAUCAGGCACACUGGAACUGAGACACGGUCCAGACACCUACGGGUGGCAGCAGUCGAGAAUAAUUCACAAUGGGGGCAACCCUGAUGGUGCAACGCCGCGUGGAGGAUGACGGUCUUCGGAUUGUAAACUCCUGUCAUCCGGGAGUAAGACCUGGCUGUGAAAAGCAGACAGGGUUGAUAGUACCGGAAGAGGAAGGGACGGCUAACUUCGUGCCAGCAGCCGCGGUAAUACGAAGGUCCCGAGCGUUGUUCGGAAUCACUGGGCGUAAAGGGAGCGUAGGCGGCGCGGUAAGUCAGAUGUGAAAUCCCCGGGGCUCAACCCCGGAACUGCAUCCGAUACUGCUGUGCUAGAGGAUUGGAGAGGUAGCUGGAAUUCUUGGUGUAGCAGUGAAAUGCGUGGAGAUCAAGAGGAACACUCGUGGCGAAAGCGAGCUACUGGACAAUAUCUGACGCUGAGGCUCGAAGGCCAGGGUAGCGAAAGGGAUUAGAUACCCCUGUAGUCCUGGCAGUAAACGGUGUGCGCUUGGUGUGAGGGGAAUCGACCCCCCUUGUGCCGGAGCUAACGCGUUAAGCGCACCGCCUGGGAAGUACGGUCGCAAGACUAAAACUCAAAGAAAUUGACGGGGACCCGCACAAGCGGUGGAGUAUGUGGCUUAAUUCGAUGCAACGCGAAGAACCUUACCUAGGCUUGACAUGCAUCUCUAAGCGCGUGAAAGCGCGUGACCCUUCGGGGGGUUUGCACAGGUGCUGCAUGGCCGUCGUCAGCUCGUGUCGUGAGAUGUUGGGUUAAGUCCCGCAACGAGCGCAACCCUUGUGUCUAGUUGCCAGCACGUUAAGGUGGGAACUCUAGACAGACUGCCCAGAUCAACUGGGAGGAAGGUGGGGACGACGUCAGGUCAGUAUGGCCCUUACGCCUAGGGCUGCACACGUACUACAAUGCCCAGCACAAUGAGAACCGAGACCGCGAGGUGGAGGAAAUCUAAAAAACUGGGCCCAGUUCGGAUUGGAGACUGCAACUCGCCUCCAUGAAGUUGGAAUCGCUAGUAAUGGCGCAUCAUCUACGGCGCCGUGAAUACGUUCCCGGGUCUUGCACUCACUGC
rnacentral:rRNA from 1 species